AUGGGUGUGUCAAAGGAACAAGUCGAGUCAUCUUUGAACUCAAAACUCAACCCUUCUCAUCUUGAAGUAAUCGAUAUAUCUGGAGGGUGUGGUGCAAGUUUUUCUGUUGAGAUUGUGUCAGAACAAUUUGAAGGCAAAAGGUUACUGGAAAGGCAUAGAAUGGUGAAUGCUGCAUUAGAAGAGGAAAUGAAAGAGAUUCAUGCACUCUCUGUAAAGAAAGCUGUAACUCCAGAGCAGUGGAAAAAACAACAAGAAUCCAACCAAUCAAACCCUGCUGCCUAG